AUUGAACGCUGGCGGCAGGCCUAACACAUGCAAGUCGAGCGAGCGGCGGACGGGUGAGUAAUGUAUGGGGACUGCCCGAUAGCGGGGGAUAACUACUGGAACCGGUAGCUAAUACCCCAUACUAUCGGAUAACCCAUAUGGGAUUAGCUAGUAGGUGAGGUAAUGGCUCACCUAGGAGACGAUCCCUAGCUGGUCUGAGAGGAUGAUCAGCCACACUGGGACUGAGACACGGCCCAGACUCCUACGGAGGAAGCAGUGGGGAAUAUUGCACAAUGGGCGUAAGCCUGAUGCAGCCAUGCCACGUGUAUGAAGAAGGCCUUCGGGUUGUAAAGUACUUUUGGCAGAGAAGCGGUAUCUGCAGAAUAAGCACCGGCUAACUACGUGCCAGCAGCCGCGGUAAUUC
rnacentral:rRNA from 1 species